rnacentral:tRNA from 1 species
GCCUGGGUGGCUCAGUCGGUUAAGCGUCUGACUUCGGCUCAGGUCAUGAUCUCACAGUUUGUGGGUUCAAGCCCCAUGUCAGGCU